rnacentral:tRNA from 1 species
UAGAAGAACAGGACUCGAACCCGCACCAAAAGACUCAAAAUCUUUUGCACUUCCUUAUGCAACCUCCUA